ensembl:lncRNA
CCCUAACCGACUUAAAGAACAUAGCAGAACAAGUCUCAUUGUGUUCUAGAAAGCCACUAUGCUCACGCUCCAGGAAAGCUCGAGCCUUCCGCUCCUGCAACUCCCUGAGCUGCGCCUUUAGGGUAGCGGAUCUCUCCCAGUCAAACGACCCGCCGAGGUUGCCUGCCUCGUACUCGAGUUCAAUUAACCUUUGGAUACGAUCCACCUCCCUCCUCUCCUCCCUUUUUUUCCUCUUGCAAUACCCUAUUAUAAAAGCCCUAAUCCUCACCUUCACUAAUUCCCACCACUCUAACACCCCCUCGCACAUGGACCGGAGGCCUUCAAGCCUCCAAAAGAAACCAUAAAACCCGUCAACAAAAGCCUGCUCCUCCAGCACAUCCCGAUCUAACUACCAAAGAGGCAGACUGGCGACCCCACCUGCAGGAGCACCCCGUCGUGAUCCGAAAAGAAAACAGGCAACAGCCGCCCAGACAACUUACUCAAAGACCUGGGUACAAAAAUAUAGUCGAGCCUCCGCUCAACCCCCCCUGGAGUUGCGCCAUGUAGGACCGGCCAUUUUCGGAGUAGUGUGUAGACCACCAUCAACCAGACCAUGGCAAGCCAUUAGCCCGGUAAUGGCGCCUGCACUGCUAUCCCCCCCUAUUCCUAAAUCUGUAUUAAAUUCCCCCCCUAUCACUAAUUUCCUAUUUGUGACACACAGGGGCGUCAGACAGUCCACCAUCUCCCUCCUGUCUGCCACCACCUGUGGCCCAUACACCACCACUAAUCUAAAUUUACAAUCCCUUAUCGUGACAUCCACCCCUAUAACCCUCCCCUGCAUUACCACAAAAGAAUCCUCCAAUUUGCACCCCUCCAAUACCCCAAACUGACUCCCCCUUGUCCCACUCCCUCUUAAACCUACUAACAUCCCCUCCAUCCCUCAGGUGAACCUCCUGUAAAAAUAAAAAUCAAACUCCACACCCUCCAAAUAACUAAAAACCGCCCUCCUCUUAACAAAAUCCCUUAAACCCCUUACAUUUAAACUAACAAAAGUAAAAUUAGACCCCAUGAAAGAAUAAAAUAAAAACAUGUAAUACACUCAAAUUCUAAACCCAGACAGAAAAAAAACAAAAACAGGAGACUCACCCGAUGCUCCCCUGCUCCAUAUCUACCGGUGAGAACACCAUCCGUACUCCCGACAUCCCCCCUCUUCCUCCAUCUCACCAACCCAGGAUGCAGGAAUAGUGUUUGGCUCCGGGGUGCCCUGCACCCUGGGUCUACCCCCACACUCCUCCCCCUCCCCAGUGCUGCAGCUGGUUUGGA